UGAGGAAUAUUGGUCAAUGGGCGUAAGCCUGAACCAGCCAAGUCGCGUGAGGGAUGAAGGUUCUAUGGAUCGUAAACCUCUUUUAUAAGGGAAUAAAGUGUGGGACGUGUCCUAUUUUGUAUGUACCUUAUGAAUAAGGAUCGGCUAACUCCGUGCCAGCAGCCGCGGUAAUACGGAGGAUCCGAGCGUUAUCCGGAUUUAUUGGGUUUAAAGGGUGCGUAGGCGGCCUUUUAAGUCAGCGGUGAAAGUCUGUGGCUCAACCAUAGAAUUGCCGUUGAAACUGGGGGGCUUGAGUAUGUUUGAGGCAGGCGGAAUGCGCGGUGUAGCGGUGAAAUGCAUAGAUAUCGCGCAGAACCCCGAUUGCGAAGGCAGCCUGCCGGCUCCACACUGACGCUGAGGCACGAAAGCGUGGGUAUCGAAC
rnacentral:rRNA from 1 species